CAGCACAAAUAAAGCUUGCUUUAUUGGUGGCGACCGGCGCACGGGUGAGUAACGCGUAUGCUACCUACCUUAUACUGGAAGAUAGCCCGAAGAAAUUCGGAUUAAUAUUCCAUAGUAUUAUUGAUAAGCAUUUAUUGAUAAUUAAAGCUCCGGCGGUAUAAGAUGGGCAUGCGUCCUAUUAGCUAGAUGGUAAGGUAACGGCUUACCAUGGCUACGAUAGGUAGGGGGGCCUGAGAGGGUGGUCCCCCACACUGGUACUGAGACACGGACCAGACUCC
rnacentral:rRNA from 1 species